rnacentral:rRNA from 1 species
GAUGGACGCUGGCGGCGUGCCUAAUACAUGCAAGUCGAGCGAACAGACGAGGAGCUUGCUCCUCUGACGUUAGCGGCGGACGGGUGAGUAACACGUGGAUAACCUACCUAUAAGACUGGGAUAACUUCGGGAAACCGGAGCUAAUACCGGAUAAUAUAUUGAACCGCAUGGUUCAAUAGUGAAAGACGGUUUUGCUGUCACUUAUAGAUGGAUCCGCGCCGCAUUAGCUAGUUGGUAAGGUAACGGCUUACCAAGGCAACGAUGCGUAGCCGACCUGAGAGGGUGAUCGGCCACACUGGAACUGAGACACGGUCCAGACUCCUACGGGAGGCAGCAGUAGGGAAUCUUCCGCAACGGGCGAAAGCCUGACGGAGCAACGCCGCGUGAGUGAUGAAGGUCUUCGGAUCGUAAAACUCUGUUAUUAGGGAAGAACAAAUGUGUAAGUAACUAUGCACGUCUUGACGGUACCUAAUCAGAAAGCCACGGCUAACUACGUG